rnacentral:lncRNA from 1 species
CACAUAAUAGCUGCUGAGGUAGUGGGAGACCUAUCAAAAUCAAGGAUGGCAGGCAGGGCCUCUCCAAGGAGCCACACCCCAGCAGAGAGCUGAAGGAGGUGAAGGAGAGAUGCGGGCAGACAUCUAGGAGAAGAGCAAGUACAAAAGCCCUGGGGCUUGGAGAGCCACCAGGAGGCCUUUUGUGGAAAAAGUGAUGAGUUAAGAGGUGGCUCAGCCAGAGCUGCUGGAAGGAAGAACUGUAGCUGUGUUUUGCUGAAACAGAAAGAUUGUGGGAGGAGCAGCUUUGUUAGGGAAGUAACAGAAGAUGGGAAGACCCAGAAGCCCAGAAUUCUAUCAAGGCAAGACUUCCGUCACAGUUGGCCCCAGAAUUGAUACAUUUUCAAUGUGGUUGCUCAAUGUCCCCUGAACUAGUAUAUGCAACAUGUUGAGUUUCCUCAACAUGCUGCUGCUAGGCAUCUCUAAACAUGCCCCAACUGGAAGUCCUCUUCUCCACCCACUUCCAGGCAUGCUCUGCAUGCAAUGGGAUUCUAAGAAGCCAAGCCUGAGAUUAGAAUUCAUGUGCUCAAAAUGACUUACUAGGAAGAGCUCCCAGGAGGAACUGGCAAAUGAGUG